GUAAAGGGUGCGUAGGUGGUUUGACAAGUUGGUAGCGUAACUCCGGGGCUCAACCUCGGCACUACUACCAAAAAUGUUGGACUUGAGUGCAGGAGGGGCAAAUGGAAUUCCUAGUGUAGCGGUGGAAUGCGUAGAUAUUAGGAGGAACACCAGUGGCGAAGGCGGCUUACUGGACUGUAACUGACGUUGAGGCUCGAAAGCGUGGGGAGCAAACAGG
rnacentral:rRNA from 1 species